rnacentral:lncRNA from 1 species
UCCUUAUUUAGAUAAUCUCAUAGCCAAACAAGUUAAAUUAUUCUAUUCCCCCUAAUGCACAGCCAGUGUUGACCUAAUUAUUUCCUUCACUGGCAUUUCCUUGUUUUCUGAUAAUUCUCCUUAAGGAGGGAUUGAAAAUGAUGGGACUGGCUAACAUUUUGGAAUUUCUGACCGGGAAUGCUUUCUGCACUUCCAUUAUCAGGCACAAGCAAACGCUGGAGCAUGGUUUCCUUCAAGGACUGUCCAGGGAGCUUAAUUUCUCAUUUACCGUUUUGUGGUCUGUCACCUCCAUAUCAGAGUCCUACAGAACCAUGGACCAGUUCUCUGGGGACGGCUGCACUUCCUGGAGAUCAUGCUGCCCAGAUUGCACAUGGUGGUCAGCAGCUCUGCUUAUAUGGGCAGAGCUGGGCCUGCUGGACAAAUGCCCUCCAGGGCCUGCAUCAGUAAAGCCACACAUUGUGAUACCGAGACUCUCUUUUUCAUCCUACUUCUGGGGCUCUGCAGUAGUUGAACACAUUUUGUGUUUUUCAAGUUCUUUCUAUGAUGCAGAAUUAAGAGAAGAUUAUGAAAAAUCAUAUUAUUCAAUAUAUUUAACAUCAUAUUAACAUUUUAAGGUCCUGGAUUUUUGUUCUCUAGUGGAUAUUGGUCAUGUGUCUGAUGAUCAGGCAUGUUUUGAACAUUUUUUAGAGGACAUUAUCUGUACUGUAUUGUCUGUAGAAGCUGGGGCCCCCACUCAGCCUUCCUAUUUGCUGGCUACCUGGCCCUGCUUCUGCCAAUCAGAUAAUGGUGUGCAGCUGGGAACAGAGAAGUGGAGGGAGGGGAAAGGGAAGAAGAAUGAAGAUGUGUGGACAUGGACCAAAUCCCCAAGAUGAAUGUCAUCGUUAUGUACUGCAAACAUGUACCAAUAAAAAUAAAUAAAAACUUCUUUUCCUUAGUGAGAUGUUUUCAGAGAUGGGAAUAAAAAACCCAGCAGUUAGUG